rnacentral:lncRNA from 1 species
AGGUGGAGGCGCACGGGUGGCCGAAGCAUUUCUCGGCGUACAAAGUGUCCAAGGUGACCCUGAACGCGUACUCGAGGAUCCUAGCGAGAAGGCACCCUGAGCUGCGCAUCAACUGCGCGCAUCCUGGCUACGUGAAGACUGACAUGACCUUACAAUCCGGGCUCCUGACGCCCGAGGAAGGCGCGAGCAACCUGGUGAAUGUGGUGCUGCUGCCGGAAGGCGGCCCGACCGGCACAUUCUUCGCGCUGGGCCAGGAGGCUCCGUUCGUGUGACGCUGCUUGGCCGGGCACGGCUGAUCGCCACUGGUCCGGUUGUUCACGCGCCGUUCUCCAACUGCCAGUUAUCAACGUUAUAUUAUUUGCGGGCGUGCCAGUAUAGGAUUGUUAUACACAUAAAUAAAUAAAUCACACACAGCCGCAACAGAAUGGGAAACUUGUAUUCUAUAUUCAUUCUCGAGUAUUUUUCUUUUACAAGUCUCCUCUUUUACGUAUAUCUCUUCGUAGCGCCUCAAUAUAUACAGAUGAUUGCACAAUUCCUAGAGCCUCGCAAGAACCAUAAUUACAACCGUAGGCAGUGGCGGACCCAAGAUUUCAGAGCAGGGUAUGCCAUUAAAAAAAAUAUUUAGAUGAACGACAUAAAAAGUUCACAAAAGAUUAAAUAAAACAUACAUAAUGUGCAUCUAUAAAUUUUGCAAUUGUCAAUGACACAUAACAUAGCAAAGGUCAAAGGGGGUUUCAAUUUUGAUUAACUCGCGGGGGGCGCCUGGCGGGGCGGCGGACGGUGCGUCAGCGCCGCGAGCGCCGAGAGGCCGCGCGGGUGGAGGCCGGAGGGGUCUGGUGGCGGCCGGGAUCUCGCCCAACGGGCCGCGGGGGGCGGGGGGGGGGGGGGGGGCCCCGCCGGAAGGGGGGCCCGAACAAGGGAUUCGGGGGCCCGGGACCCUGCGGGGGUUCCGGGAACCCUGGGGCGGGUGGGCUUGGACUCUUAGGGGAACCGGUGAAUGGGGGGGAAUCGGGGUUUAGGAAUGGGAAAGGUAGAUGGGCCGUUGGCCGGCCGGCCGGGCAUGGCCUGUGGGCUAGUUCGUGUUGGACGUGAAUUGGAGCCUCAAACCAGCUGAGAAUAUCAAUUUUAAGACUUUAGCUAUAUUAUACAUGUAUAUACCUCUAAGAACUACUAAAAAAUUUACCAAAAUGUUGGGUAUGCCUGGGAAUACCCAGGCACAAUAGUGGGUCCACCCCUGCCUGUAGGUUCAAGCCUACAUAACGCCUAUGAUUAUGAGCAAAGCCGAUCGAAUAAAAAACCGUACUAAAGUUAGUUAGUGUAGCAUGUACUUCCAGCAGUCAGAUAUGCAAACAGAGGCCAAAGAUUACAGUAGCAAUUACAAGCGCAUGGGGUAAUCUUGACUAAAAUCAUGGGCAAUGGACACUCGACAGUCGAAAAUCAUUGGGCCCAACGAGAAGCGGACCACUUGAUUGCGACAAGCCCAGAAGUAUAUGCAUCGACUCGCUAACCGUUCAAUCAAUGAAUCAAAUGAGCGCCGAAGAUGACCAAACUAAAACGGCACAAAGGUUCGGAGGUGCUGCUGGCGUGCUAAAUAUCCAUCAAAUGUGUGACCACCAAGGUUGCCAGCUAGUCUUUUCUGUCACUCAAGUGUAGUAGUAAAGUUAGUAACUAGUCAGUGUCUCGACCAUUUCGUUCCCAAAAAGAAAGUAUCUAGACCAUUACCCUGAGCUCUCUCCUUUCUCUCGAGGCUCGAGCUUGUAGCGAAAGGUCAUGGAGGAAGCUAUUCCCGAUCCCGCGAACGCAAGGUACAUGCCAUGCCUCCAUGCUGCGUUCCUGCGUACAGUUUUUUUUUCUUUUAACUAACCUGAUAGUGUAUGAUAACCUACCGGAUUUUUUUAGUGAUUCAUGGUUGCUGUACGCUAAGUAAUACAUGCAUAGUGCUCAUGUUUGACCCUUGACAGGAUUGCAGUGGUUACUGGCGGGAACAAAGGGAUCGGGCUAGAGGUAUGCCGGCAGCUGGCCGGCGCCGGCAUCACCGUCGUCUUAACAGCCAGGGACGAGAAGAGGGGCGCAGCCGCUGUGGAGAAGCUAAGAGAGGCAGGGCUCUCCGAUGUCAUUUUCCAUCAGCUGGAGAUUGCCGAUGCUCCUAGCGUUGCCCGGUUGGCUGAUUUCUUGAAGAUUCGAUUUGGGAAGCUAGACAUCCUGGUAAUUAUAAUUUGCCUUUCCAUUUUUCCAAACUUCUAGAGGUUCGAUGUGGCCAGGGACUGAUAGUGCUAAGUGAACUAUUUGUAGGUAAAUAAUGCUGCAGUUAUUGGUGCUGUUGAGCAUGUCCAAGAUCCUGCUGAUAAUUCACUGACCAGCAAGGAAAAGGUGAGGUUUAGAGCAUUUCUAAGAGUGCCCAAUAAACACUUUCAAUAGCUAGUUUUUGAGUACGAAUUGAAGAUGAAAAAUAGCACUGCAAGUGGUCUAAUCCCAUUCCCAAUUUUUUAGCAUGUUCAAUAUCAGAUCAAUCCGGAGUCAAAUUUUCACCCCCUCCCCCAGAUUCCCAAUCGGUAAUCUUUUUGCAUAAAGGUUGUCCUCACCGCCCCGCCCCGCCCCCCCGGGAAAUUAAACGCCGCUGUUUUUUUUUCUCCUGCACCAACAUAUCUUUUUUCGGGAAAAGCGUUGUUGGUUUUCCCUUGCCGGUGUAUGGUGGCUCCACAAUGGAUAAUGUGCUAGCAAAUAAAGUUGUUUUAUCAACUAAAUUUUGGGAACAGAUGGUGGAGAGGAUUUUUUUAGCUCCCAAUAUUUUUUGAAAAUAUCCUAAAAUCAGCUUUUUGGAAGUAGGCACUUUUGAAGAUGCUCUUACAUCUUCAGUUUGUCACAGGUUUUACAAUAACAUUGGUUGAUGUCCGAUGUUAAGUAAAACCAACACUAUUGGAUAUCACUGCAUCUUCACCAAAUCACCAGGGUUCUGAAUUUCGGCCCAAAAACUGGUGAAUUUCGGUCCUACCAAUAUCCUCUGGUAAAUUGACAAGGUGGAUAUUCCGGUAUUUUUCGGAUGGAAUUUGAACAUACUUAUAAAAUUCAGCCAAACGUUCUUCAAAUUUCCGAAAUUUCGGAUGGUUUUCGGCCUACCUGUCGUACUAGUCUUCUUUGAGCGCCCCCCCCCCCCCCAAAAAAAAAAAAGAAAAAAAAGAAAAAUGGUAGCUUUGAACACUGAUAUCUUCACCAAAUAAAACCUCCGUGGCGUUCUGAACAUUGACCAAAUUUAUUUGUUGUUGCAUGUGCUCAACAGAUCAGUGGCAUGGAUAAGCGUCGGAGGCUUGAGUGGUUUGCCAAUGCUGUCCGAGAGACCUACGACGCUGCAAGAGAAGCCGUGCAGAUAAACUACUACGGCACAAAGCAUGUCAUCGAAGCCUUAUUGCCGCUGCUGCAAGCUUCCUCCGAUGGGAGAAUCGUCAAUGUCUCCUCCGAAUGGGGGCUGCUAAGGGUAAGCGUUGGGCUUUUUUUUUUGGGGACGCCUACGAUCGAGUAAUAGUACGUUUUAUAUACAUGCAUACAGCAAAUUAUCUUAAAACUUCUUUCUGGUGCAGCUAAUCAACAAUGAGGAGCUGAAGCAGGAGCUAAACGACGAUGUUGAGAAACUCACCGAGGAGAGGCUGGAUGAGAUUCUGGGCACGUUCUUGAACGACUUCAAGGCCGGCGAGUUGGAGGCGCACGGGUGGCCGAAGCAUUUCUCGGCGUACAAGGUGUCCAAGGUGACCCUGAACGCGUACUCGAGGAUCCUAGCGAGAAGGCACCGUGAGCUACGCGUCAACUGCGCGCAUCCUGGCUACGUGAAGACCGACAUGACCAUACAGUCCGGGCUCCUGACGCCCGAGGAAGGCGCGAGCAACCUGGUGAAGGUGGCGCUGCUGCCGGAAGCCGGGCCAACCGGCGUAUACUUCGACCUGGGCCAGGAGGCGCCAUUCGUGUGACACUACCUGGCUGGGCAUGCAUGAGUGAUCGCCAGCAACCCCUUGGCUCGCCGUUCUCCGACCGCCUGUU